rnacentral:rRNA from 1 species
UACGGAGGGUGCAAGCGUUAUCCGGAUUCACUGGGUUUAAAGGGUGCGUAGGCGGGCAUUUAAGUCAGUGGUGAAAUGCCUGAGCUUAACUUGGGAACUGCCAUUGAUACUAUUUGUCUUGAAUGUCGUGGAGGUUAGCGGAAUAUGUCAUGUAGCGGUGAAAUGCUUAGAUAUGACAUAGAACACCUAUUGCGAAGGCAGCUAACUACGCGAAUAUUGACGCUGAGGCACGAAAGCGUGGGGAUCAAACAGG